rnacentral:lncRNA from 1 species
AGAGAGAAUUCAAUUCAAAAAAUAAAUUAUAGAAAGUAAUGCAUGUCCCUAGAGAAAGAUAGAAAGAUCUAUGAAGCUUAUCAUAGAUCGGAUCAUAUCCAAAAGGAUCCAAUUCCUCCUUUCGGAUACCCCACUCAGCUGAGUCAUCUCAGGAGGUGUCCACUAUGAGCGUAUGCCGUUAUCCUUGAGAUAGAUCCAAAAUUCUCCAUUA